GGGAAGGGGUUGACAACAAGGGGUGGCUGUGUGGUAACGCAAAGCUAUCAAAGUAGGUUCCUGCUACUGAGGAGCAGAAGUGGCUCAUUGAGCCCACGGAGAAGGAGGGUCCGUAUUCCCAACGGCCUCAUCACCGUCUUGCUGAAGUUAUACUGGCCGGGGUUGUACUGUCCGAUCCAGUCAGGCACCCGGACCGUUAGGUUUUGGCCACGAGCUGGGACCACUAGGAAGCGGGCCUCCACGCGGACCAUGAGACCUAUGCCAAGGCCAUGAUCACUACUUUCUGGAAAUUCUAUCGAGUUCUUCCGGAGCACAAGGCCAGAGCGGACCAGAUCGUGCUGCGCCAAUGCAAGAAAGAGGCCCGCCAGAUGCAGUAUGAGGUGCGCUAUGCGGCCAUCUCGACAUACUAUCACGACGCUCUUGGUGUGAAGAUGACCAAGGAAGAAGCACGGAGGAUGGGCAUGACCUUGGAGAGGCACGAGUACUUGGCGAUAAGUGUAUCCAAAUUGGUGUUAUGAAAAAGACGAGUCCUGGGCGGCAUUGGUGGAUCUUUGGUGUGAUGAGGCUGGAGCUGGGCGGCUACGAGAAUCAAAAACAAAGUUAACCGAGGGAAGGAGGGAGUACAUGCUCAGGGAAACCGAAACCACUUUCUCCACAAGGCAGUUAAUGAGAAGAAACUGAAGCGGCCGCUCUCACACAUGCAGGCGUGGGAGAUUGCCCAUACGC